rnacentral:lncRNA from 10 species
UUGUAAUCCCAGCACGUUGGUAGGCCAAGGCAGGCAGAUUCCUUGAGCCCAGGAGUUCAAGAGCAGCCUGAGUGACAUAGAGAGACUCCAUCUCUGCUAAAAACACAAAAAUUAGCCGGACAUGGUGGCACAUCCCUGUAGUCCCAGCUACUUGGGAGGCUGAGGCAGGAGGACUGCUUGAGCCUGGGAGUCAGAGGUUGCAGUGAGCCGAGAUCGCACCACUGCACUCUAGCCUGGGCAACAGAGUAAGAUCCUGUAUUUAAAAGAAAAAAGAUUAUUUUGUAGAGAUGGAGUCUCACUGCUGUUCAGGUUGAUCUCGAACUCCUCAAGUAAUCCUCCCACCUCAGCCUCCCAAAAUGCUGGGAUUUCCAGUGUGAGCUACCUUUCCUGGCCUUGCAGUGACUAUUUUGUACUAAGCCUCUGUCUGCAGCCCUGAUUCUUGGGCCCUUUCCCUCUGAGAAGGUGCCAUGACAGGGACAGAGCCCCUGGGGGACGUAGGCCAGGAGGGCUGGUGGCCUCUGGGGGAACCUUGGCCUUGUUCAUUAACAAACCUGUUCCCUCCUUUCACUCCCAGCCCCAUAGCCAGAUGCCUGUGAGCUGUGAGGAGCUUCCUGAAGCAUCCAAGCUUCUGUCCAGGGCGUUAUCUUGCAACGUGAGCUCUCCCAUCUUCAAAGCAGGCCACUCAGUUGUUCUGCAGAUGAUGUUUAAUACUCUGGUAAACAGCUCCUGGGGGGACUUGGUCGAGUUGCACGCCAAUGUGACCUGGUGAGCAGGCCCCGCCCACAUCC